UACGUAGGGGGCUAGCGUUGUCCGGAAUCAUUGGGCGUAAAGCGCGUGUAGGCGGUCCGGUAAGUCCGCUGUGAAAGUCGGGGGCUCAACCCUCGAAUGCCGGUGGAUACUGUCGGGCUAGAGUGCGGAAGAGGAGAAUGGAAUUCCCGGUGUAGCGGUGAAAUGCGCAGAUAUCGGGAAGAACACCCGUGGCGAAGGCGGUUCUCUGGGACGGUACUGACGCUGAGACGCGAAAGCGUGGGGAGCGAACAGG
rnacentral:rRNA from 1 species